AGUGGGUACUCUUGAAGCUCACCCCAAAAUUUGAAAACCAUCUCCCUCCAAUUUCUCUUUCUAAAACUCUCUUUAACGAACGCUCUUUCUCUCUCUCUCGGAUACUGUCUACAACAGCAAUGGAAGGUCCACUCCUGAAACUGAUAAUUGAGAAAGGCCCCAGAGGUGGAGAAACCCUAGAAUUCAAACCCGGAUCCGCGAUACGGAUCGGGAGGGUGGUCCGUGGUAACAACCUUCCGAUCAAAGACUACGGCAUUUCCUCUAAGCACCUCUCUAUUCAAUUCGAAUCCGGUAAGUGGGUAGUCCGAGACCUUGACUCCUCCAACGGCACCUUACUCAACAACGCCCAGCUCUCACCCGAUGAUCCCGCUGAUCUCCGCGACUUCGACUCUAUCAAGAUCGGCGAGUUCACCUCCAUCACCGUCAGGAUCGUCCAAUGCGAUGAAAGUCGAUUGCGCCGGAACCCUAGGCGGGGAGGGGCUGGAAAAGAGGGGGAGUUGGAUUCUGUGGGCUCGGUUGCAGAGAAUCGGGGCCGGAAGGGGGUUUCCAAGACGGUUAGGGUUGUGAAGGAAGAGGAGAAUGAAGCUGAUUUGGCUUCAGUUAGUGAAGUAGGGUUCGGUAAGGAAUUGGAUAAUAAUUUGGGGGUUGUGGCGGAGAAUCGGGGUGGGCGAGGUCGACCAAAGAGGGCUAAGGUUUUGAAGAAUGAGGCAGUGGAGGAGUCUGGUGAGGUUCAGGGACGUGAAAGGAGUUUGAGUUUGGGUAUAGAAUCAGAGAAUGUUGGUCAGGUUGGAGUCGAACCCGUGAGGCAAAUGGGUUCAAGGAGGACUCGGGCGUCGAAGAAGGAAGAUAAAUUGGUUUCUAGUUUGAUGCUUCAAAAAAUUCCGGAAAUUUCUAAGUUGGAUUGUGUAGAAAUUGGGAUUGAGGAGAAAAAGACAAGGGUGGGUUUGAGAAGGAAGAGGAACACUCAGGAUGAGCCAAUGGAGACUGUUGCAAUUGAUGGUACCACAGAUCAGGAGGUAGUCAAGGGGUCUAACUGUGGAGAAAAGAUUUGUACAGCAUCGACCAGUAUGUCAGGUGCUAAAGAGUGGCCCACUGAGGUAGGAGAUGGACCUGAUUUGGAGAAGAUGACACUUGGGGAUUGGUUCGAUUAUUUGGAGCUUCAUUUACCAAAGCAAAUAUAUGAUGUGACAGAAGAGAUGAUUGCAGGUAUGAGGGAGAGGGGGGAGCGGGUUCGGGAGUAUAUGUUACAACAGAAGAAUGAGAAGGGUAAACUAUCUGUUUGCUAGAGGGAGGAUCCUGCACUUUGAUUGUUAGGUAGUUACUGCUUGAAUUACUUUACUUAUAACAUAUUUAUGCUUAUGACCCGAGCUUCUGUAAGAUUUGCAUAUUUUGUUGUGCUUUUCGAAUUUUUUGUAAACUUUGUCAGAGAGGAUCUUUCAAGUUCAUUUUGAUUGUUUAUCAUAAAGGUAGUCUGCCUUCUUUUACCAUUAUUUUCUGAGUCUGCUCGGCACUGCUGCCAAUUUGGUGAAAAAGAGCUGUGCUGAAUGGAAUCUGAGUUAGCUAUAAAUUUUUAUGAUUGGAAGCUUGAGAUAGCUGAGUCCUUUAUUAUAUUCAGGAUUUUGGUGGUUAGAGAGGAAAGGAAGGAGGUUGGUUGGAUUAAAUUGUUGUUUCACUACUAAAUCCCUUUUCUUUUAGUUCUUCCUCCUUUGGGGCUCUGUGCCUGCAAAUAUAAUGUUCUUUGCUUGGGAAAAGAGCUUUACUCUUGAUCAUCUCUUGUGUUGUUGGGGGCAGGAGGCAAACAAGAAGAGAAGCUGCUAACUACUUUCUUGUUCAUUCUGAAGUGAAGGAGACAUUGUUGAGUUGUUAAGGAAAUUUUAAGGAUAAGUGCAACUGGAAAGUGUGGAAGGUGGCCUCUUUGAGUAUCUUUGUGGAGCUUAUUUAAAAGGUGUAAUUGAAGGACUUUUUUAUGAUAGAGUGACCAGGCCUAUGCCCUAAAGGAAGGCUUUCAGGCUUCAUGUUAUCAUUUGAUUUGUAGGGAUAAUUUUAUCAAGGGAAAGAUGCAGAAGGGUAUUGUGAGAGAAAGUGAGGUCAAUGCUGGGAAUAUGAUAAGAGCAAUGAAACCCAAAGGAUCACUUCUGGGUAGAUUUGGAGAUCAAUCACUAAGAAGUUGAUAUGAUUUCCGUUUUUAGUUUCAUUUCAUAUGAAAUUCAGAGGUUAUCUUGUUACUUUUAGUGGCAAAAAUCUUCUUACCUCAGCUGAAUUCCUUUGUUAAAAGAAAAAUGAUGGAGGCAUAAUUACAGGAAGCCAGCUAGCUUUCCAUAAUUACAACAAUAAAUAUACGGUACUCUGCUUCUCAUUGUGAUCCUGUAAGACUGGGUUUUUUCAUCAACGUCUGCUGGUGGCAUAUGCAUAGAAGUACAAGCCAUUACUCAGGGCAGAUAGACCUCAAGUUGAGCAUUUUUGACUUAAGAUGGGUGUAUGGAGACUCGAUCCUGUUUCCAUUUUUGACAAUGUGAGAAGUAACCGGGGUGCUUCAUCUGUUCACAUCUUCCGUGGAAUCCCAAGGAGUUGAUAGUAUGAUAGUUGUAUCAGAUGAGUGGAAAGCCAAUCCGGAAGAUAUAUGGUUUCAGUCACUAGAAUUGAAGACCACAUUACGAUUAGAACUUGAGUGGAGAGCACAUUAACCGCAAAUGAGACAUGGUGUUAUGAUGAUAUAGAGCAAUCAAUUCACUUAGAGCCCUUGGUGGAGACUGGAGUAUUGUGGGUGAUUCAUUCGAUUAUUAAUGUAAAUGCUUGUUUUAUGAU